rnacentral:rRNA from 1 species
CAUGUCUGUUUGGAGAUAUAAAAAGUUUAACCUGCCCACUGAUAAAAUAAUUUAAAUGGCCGCGGUAUUUUGACCGUGCAAAGGUAGCAUAAUCGUUAGUUUUUUAAUUGGAAUCUUGUAUGAAUGGUUGGACAAAAGAAAAUCUGUCUUUAUAUUGUUUAUUGAAUUUAACUUUUAAGUGAAAAGGCUUAAAUAAAUUAAAGGGACGAUAAGACCCUAUAAAGCUUAAUAUUAAUAUUUUACUUGGUUAAAUUUUCUUGCUCAUAAAAACUUAGUAAUUGAAUUUAUUUUAUUGGGGCGAUAAAUGUAAAAUGGCUACUAACUGCUUAAUUUUUUAUACAUUUAUAAAUGAAUUAGGAAAUAAAUGAUCCUUAAUAUAAAGAUUAAAAGUUUAAGUUACUUUAGGGAUAACAGCGUUAUCUUUCUUAAGAGUACAUAUCGAAAGAAAAUUUUGCGACCUCGAUGUUGAAUUAAAAUACCUUUAUAAUUGCAGCAGUUAUAUAAGUAGGUCUGUUCGACCUUUAAAAUUUUACAUGAUUUGAGUUCAAACCGGCGUGAGCCAGGUUGGUUUCUAUCUUUUAAUUAAUUGAAAUUAUUUUA